AUACGAGUGCCCCAAGCGUUAUCCGGAAUUAUUGGGCGUAAAGGGUCCGCAGGCGGUCUUAUUAGUCUUUUGUUAAAGACCUCGGCUCAACCGAGGAAAAGCGAAAGAAACGGUAAGACUAGAGGAUGUGAGAGGUUAGUGGAACUCAUGGUGUAGGGGUGAAAUCCGUUGAUAUCAUGGGGAACACCAAAAGCGAAGGCAACUAACUGGCACAUUUCUGACGCUCAGGGACGAAAGCGUGGGUAGCGAAUGGGAUUAGAUACCCGAGUAGUCC
rnacentral:rRNA from 1 species